CCUACGGGUGGCAGCAGUGGGGAAUAUUGGGCAAUGGGCGCAAGCCUGACCCAGCAACGCCGCGUGAAGGAAGAAGGCUUUCGGGUUGUAAACUUCUUUUAUCAGGGACGAAGCAAGUGACGGUACCUGAUGAAUAAGCCACGGCUAACUACGUGCCAGCAGCCGCGGGAAUACGUAGGUGGCAAGCGUUAUCCGGAUUUACUGGGUGUAAAGGGCGUGUAGGCGGGAGUGCAAGUCAGAUGUGAAAACUAUGGGCUCAACCCAUAGCCUGCAUUUGAAACUGUACUUCUUGAGUGCUGGAGAGGCAAUCGGAAUUCCGUGUGUAGCGGUGAAAUGCGUAGAUAUACGGAGGAACACCGAUUGCGAAGGCAGCUCACUGGACUGCAACUGACACUGAGGCUCGAAAGUGUGGGUAUCAAACAGGAUUAGAUACCCUAGUAGUC
rnacentral:rRNA from 1 species